UUUUUGGAAAUAUCAGGAAAGAAACUUGAAUUGGGUUCACAUCGUGCUUCUUUCGUCACUGAACAUGAAAUUUCAGCAAAUGCAUGUGCUGCAUGUUUUAAUGAAACCUGUGGAUCUGCUGUCAAAUGUGAGCCCAACAUGCCUUAUAAACCUCAAACAUUCAAUUCUAAGGAAAAGAAGAAUCCUAGGCAGGGCCAUGUAACGCAAACAUUUAAAGGGUAUGGGAAUGUUCGAAAAAAGAUUGGACAGGAUAUGGACUUGGGAGGUGGUGAAUAUUUUUUUACAAAGAGUCUCAA